rnacentral:rRNA from 1 species
UACGUAGGGUGCGAGCGUUGUCCGGAAUUAUUGGGCGUAAAGGGCUCGUAGGCGGUUUGUCGCGUCGGGAGUGAAAUCCACUGGCUUAACUGGUGGCUUGCUUUCGAUACGGGCAGACUGGAGGUAUGCAGGGGAGAGCGGAAUUCCUAGUGUAGCGGUGAAAUGCGCAGAUAUCAGGAGGAACACCGGUGGCGAAGGCGGUUCUCUGGGCAUGUCCUGACGCUGAGGAGCGAAAGUGUGGGGAGCGAACAGG